AAGAUAAAGUAUCAAACCCCUUUCUCUAUAUAAAUGUGUAGCGAAGAUGGAAUUGUACUGAAACCACAGGUGGCUAGGCUAAUAAUCUAGUCAUUUGCAGCUAGCUUUCAUCUCUUUUCUUCUCUUGCCGGCCAGUCUGAGAUGUGGAGAAAGAAGAGAAAAAAAAUCACUCUGGUAAGGUAUGUUGAACGGCUGCUACCUCGACGGGGCUUUCUGGAUUAGAUCGGUUACUUCAAACCCUCGUGGGAGCAGGUCCGGGCAACAUAUAUAUAUUAAUCUCUUGCAGUUCCAUGUAAUUGGUGCAGGAGCAGUGCGUCGAUCCAUAUAAUAUCGAUGAAUAUGAAUAUAUAUAUAUAUAUAUAUAUAUGUAUUGAUAUGAGUGGGCAAGUCAUCAUAUAGGCAAAGGGAAGGCUACGCCUUUCUUCAUGGUUUCGUCUUGUUUUUUCGAUUUGUAUGUUUUUUUUGCUUUUCGUCUGAUUCAUAGUUUGCUUGCAAAAGUUUAAUGUAAUCGUUAAAAGAGUCUCCUUUCUGCAUUUGAAUGCUUCGUUCAAAUGUGAUUUGAAUAAAUAGUUAACAGUAGUUUCCAUUUGUGA